UAGAUGACUGGACGUUACCCACAGAAGAAGCACCGGCUAACUCCGUGCCAGCAGCCGCGGUAAUACGGAGGGUGCAAGCGUUAAUCGGAAUUACUGGGCGUAAAGCGUGCGUAGGUGGUUUGAUAAGUUAUCUGUGAAAUCCCUGGGCUCAACCUGGGCAGGUCAGAUAAUACUGUUGAACUCGAGUAUGGGAGAGGGUAGUGGAAUUUCCGGUGUAGCGGUGAAAUGCGUAGAGAUCGGAAGGAACACCAGUGGCGAAGGCGGCUACCUGGCCUAAUACUGACACUGAGGCACGAAAGCGUGGGGAGCAAACAGGAUUGGAUACCCUGGUAGUCCACGCCGUAA
rnacentral:rRNA from 1 species